UAGGGAAUCUUCGGCAAUGGACGAAAGUCUGACCGAGCAACGCCGCGUGAGUGAAGAAGGUUUUCGGAUCGUAAAACUCUGUUGUUAGAGAAGAACAAGGACGUUAGUAACUGAACGUCCCCUGACGGUAUCUAACCAGAAAGCCACGGCUAACUACGUGCCAGCAGCCGCGGUAAUACGUAGGUGGCAAGCGUUGUCCGGAUUUAUUGGGCGUAAAGCGAGCGCAGGCGGUUUCUUAAGUCUGAUGUGAAAGCCCCCGGCUCAACCGGGGAGGGUCAUUGGAAACUGGGGGACUUGAGUGCAGAAGAGGAGAGUGGAAUUCCAUGUGUAGCGGUGAAAUGCGUAGAUAUAUGGAGGAACUCCAGUGGCGAAGGCGGCUCUCUGGUCUGUAACUGACGCUGAGGCUCGAAAGCGUGGGGAGCAAACAGG
rnacentral:rRNA from 1 species